rnacentral:rRNA from 1 species
CCUACGGCAGGCAGCAGUGGGGUUUAUUGCACAAUGGGCGAAAGCCUGAUGCAGCGACGCCGCGUGAGGGAUGACGGCCUUCGGGUUGUAAACCCCUUUCUGUAGGGAAGAAGCGUAAGUGACGUACCUGUAGA